rnacentral:rRNA from 1 species
AGAGUUUGAUCAUGGCUCAGGAUGAACGCUAGCGGCAGGCUUAAUACAUGCAAGUCGAGGGGUAACAUGGGUAGCAAUACCUGAUGACGACCGGCAAACGGGUGGGAACACGUACCAACCUUCCCAAAACUGGUGAAUANNCCUCCGAAAGGAGGAUUAAUACACCGUAACAUAACGAAGUGGCAUCACUUUGUUAUUAUAGGCUUCGGCCGGUUUUGGAUGGGCGUGCGCCUGAUUAGGUAGUUGGCGGGGUAACGGCCCACCAAGCCUGCGAUCAGUAACUGGUGUGAGAGCACGACCAGUCACACGGGCACUGAGACACGGGCCCGACUCCUACGGGAGGCAGCAGUAAGGAAUAUUGGUCAAUGGACGAAAGUCUGAACCAGCCAUGCCGCGUGAAGGAUUAAGGCCCUCUGGGUUGUAAACUUCUUUUAUCUGGGACGAAAAAAGGGCAUUCUUACUCACUUGACGGUACCAGAGGAAUAAGCACCGGCUACUCCGUGCCAGCAGCCGCGGUAAUACGGAGGGUGCAAGCGUUAUCCGGAUUUACUGGGUUUAAAGGGUGCGUAGGUGGACAAGUAAGUCAGUGGUGAAAUCUCCGAGCUUAACUCGGAACUGCCGUUGAUACUAUUUGUCUUGAAUUAUCUGGAGGUAAGCGGAAUAUGUCAUGUAGCGGUGAAAUGCUUAGAUAUGACAUAGAACACCAAUUGCGAAGGCAGCUUACUACGGGUAUAUUGACACUGAGGCACGAAAGCGUGGGGAUCAAACAGGAUUAGAUACCCUAGUAGUCC